rnacentral:rRNA from 1 species
GACGAACGCUGGCGGCGUGCUUAACACAUGCAAGUCGAACGAAGUGUCGAACGGGUGAGUAAUACGUGGGUAACCUGCCCUCCUUUUUGGGAUAAGCCUUGGAAACGGGGUCUAAUACCGAAUAAAGGGGGAUGGGCUCGUGGCCUAUCAGCUUGUUGGUGGGGUGAUGGCCUACCAAGGCGGUGACGGGUAGCCGGCCUGAGAGGGUGACCGGCCACAUUGGGACUGCGAUAAGGCCCAGACUCCGACGCGGUGCAGAAGUGGGCGAUAGUGACCAAUGGGCGAAAGACUGAUGCAGCGACGCCGCGUGGGGGAGGAUGGCUUUCGGGUUGUAAACCUCUUUCGCUAGCGAACCGGUAGGUGGAGAAGAAGCGCCGGCUAACUACGUGCCAGCAGCCGCGGUAAUUC